ensembl:lncRNA
GUGGGAGUCGUGAUCCUCCGCCUUUCUGCGCAAGCGCCUCUCAGGGCCCUCCGCUCCCUCUGCUCUGCGGAGCCUGGCCCUGGGAGGGGACCCAGGUUUCCGCUGUGUCGGCCUUCGGCCUUCGGGACACGUUGAAGGCUCCAAACAGUCCUUGCCAGCAGGGUUUUCCUGCUGUCUGUCUCCGUACAAACGGGGCCACUUUGCUGAUCAGACGGGCCGCAUGGCUCCCCGUCACGCAUCGGCGAGGUGGGGCGCACUUUCCCUGGGCGGCAGUUCAGGGCCCUCUCUGCACAGUGCAGACGCCCCCACCCCUCCCUACUGCCCUGGUCUUCCCUGCGCCCGGCUCCGGAGGACUCCCCGCCAAGCCAUCUGUUCCAGCUGGAACUGCCUCUGAUUUUGGGUCAUUUGCUGGCCAGAGAUGAUUGACAUCGGCUUUACCUGAUGAAUGACUAAGACCAAGCUCAGGGAAAGAUUUGCCUUGAGCUAACAUCUAUUGCCAAUCUUCCUGGGGUUUUUUGGUUUGUUUUUCUUUUCCUCCCCAAAGCCCCAGUGAAUGGUUAUAUAUCCUAGUUGUACACACCUAAGAGAGGACUGUCUGGGUCGGAUGUCUCUAAGCGUCAGGAAUCCGAGUGGAGCUUAGCCGGUGUGGCUGGCAGCAUUGGCCCAUCCGAGCUUGAGGCCGCUUUGGAGUAGUGCUGGAUACGGGAAAACUGGAGAGAAGAAGGAAGAAAAGAGAAGAGGGCUGGAAAAGGGGACAGAAGGAAAAAUGAGUUAAGGGACUGGAAAGAAUCAGUGUUCGGAAGAAGGCAGUUGUUGCUAAACCACUUUUCAGGCUGUACUUCUGCUGGACGGAGGAGCUUCAAUCGUCUUGAUCAACGUGCCUGUAUCAGGCUUUGAACAGGAGCUAUAGAUAUGUUAGUUCAUUUACUCAAUCCUGCAACAGUCCCACCUUCCAGAUUUAGAAACUGAGAUCUGAAAAGUUAAGUAAGACUUGGCCAAGGCCAUAUACCCGAGAUGGAUUUCCUCCCCCAGAACCUGUGACCUUUCACGGUGGUACCCGAGUAUAUUCCUGUGUUACUCUGCUUCCGACUCUGCCUCACAGCAUCCUUUGCCUCCUGGGUCCGUGAGACCUCUUCUAGGAAGUUCCAGUGGACAGUAAGAAAGACAGAUCCUCUGGUCUCCCUGGUCUCUAGUUAUGGCAGCCUGCGUUCUCUUUGAAGACUGAGCUGUGUUACGGAACUCCCUCCUCCCCCGACUCUAACAGGCUUAGUGCCUCAAUCAGUGAAAGGACAGUAGGUCUCUGCUUCUGGCCGCCUCCGUGAAUGAUUUCUGCCCUGUAGUGGAAGAGUCACUGGUGGCUCUGCCCGAGAUGUCCUCUACCUGGUCAGCAUCCUCUGAUGUAACACCCCUAGACACAGUGAAUCUUGGAUAUGAAGCUGCUUCGAGUUUGAGCUUCACGUAGUGAAUGGUUUGGGCAGGUCCACUGUCCCUCCAGCCUCAGUUCCUUCAGCUGUUGAACUGAGGGGGAAGAGGUGGCUGAAUUAGUGGUUCUUUCUCCACGGAAGUGAAGACUGCGAAGUAUGCUCCGGUCCGUAGGAGCUCUAGGCAUUGUCUAUGGAUUAAAUAGUUUGUCCGUCUUGCGUAUAUACACGUGACUACAUUUCAAAUGUGUGUAAAGCUGUGUGAGAAAUAAA